rnacentral:ncRNA from 1 species
UUAACGCGCAAGCGAGAUGGAGGGACUCUGUUUGAAACCCUGUGGCGCAAUGAAGGUGAGGGCCGGGGGGCCCCGGUUGAGGUGGGAUCCCGCCACCCCUCUCAUCGGGGAGGUGGAGCGUGACCGCGCGAUAGGACCCGAAAGAUGGUGAACUAUGCCUGGGCAGGGCGAAGCCAGAGGAAACUCUGGUGGAGGUCUGUAGCGGUCCUGACAUGCAAAUCAGUUGUCCAACCUGGUUAUAGGGGGCGAAAGACUAAUCGAACCAUCUAGUAGCUGG